rnacentral:piRNA from 1 species
UGAUCUUUUUGCAUACAUUAG